AGAAAUGCUUGGUAUGUAGAAUUCAAAUGGUGCGAGAAGCUCUUUCAUUGCAUUUCACUCCAUUUUCUUUUAUUUUAUUUUUUAUAAAAUAAGGUUAGGAAAAAAGU
rnacentral:ribozyme from 15 species